rnacentral:SRP_RNA from 1 species
GCCGGGCAUAGUGGCAGGCGCCUGUAGUCCCAGCUACUCGGGAGGCUGAGGCAGGAGAAUGGCGUGAACCCGGGAGGCGGAGCUUGCAGUGAGCCGAGAUUGCAUCACUGCACUCCAGCCUGGGCGACAGAGUCAGACUCUGUCUCAAAAAAAAAAAAAAAAAAAAAAGAGAGUUGGUGUUUUUUUGUGUUGUCUUUUGAGACGGAGUCUCGCUCUGUCGCCCAGGCUGGAGUGCAGUGGCGCCAUCUCGGCUCACUGCAAGCUCCACCUCCCGGGUUCACGCCAUUCUACUGCCUCA